UUUAAAAGGUAAUUGCUGUGAAUUUAUUGAGGCCUGUUUUCUUACAAAUGGAACAUUCCUCUGUACAACAUUCAUUUGAAGAGGCACAGUUCUCGUGCUUUUUCGGUAGCACAACAUACACAUCAUCUUAAAUAUGUGAUAGACAGGUAGGAAAGAACGAUGUGUAGCUGGAGCAACACAUUUGGUUUGCUGCCACGACAGUUCCCACUGGCAGAGAGGGACGGGGAGAGAGAGAAGAGGACAUCUUUAGAAAUGGAACAGUGGCUUGUUUCUUGGAUAGUGGAAACAAAGCAGAAGAAAGUGACGUUUCAGGUUCACAUGCAUUCUCUCCUACCAAGAAUACCACUCCUUUCCAUUACAGCCACAGAACACAAUCUAGUAAAUCAUAACUAACUUUGUGGAGCUUAACACUUCUGUAGUGUUUGGGGGGGGGGGAAGAACCAUAGUGCAACAGCACAGCACAUUAACUGCAUGCAGAAGACGCUAUGGGUCAAUCCCAGUCAUCUCCAGGUUAAGGCUGGAAAGAACCCUUCUCUUGAGCCAUGGAGAGCUUCUUGGAGGUAGAUUUAGGGGAGUGCAACCAAUUCGGUCACAAUGCAGAGCCUCGGGGGCACCACGACUAUUAUUUAGAAGGGAGUGCAAGAGGCGGGGCUGGCGCCGAAUUUCGGUGUCACAUGGGGCGCUGCUGAAAUUUGAGACCCCAAGGUCUGCCACUGAACUUUUGCCAAUCAGAGUAGAUGAUAAGUCAGAUGGACCAAUGGCCUGACUCCUUACAAGUCAGCUGCCUAUAUUCUUCCCUGUUGACUUCAGCUAGGCAUGACUUGUCUUAUUUCACAGUUUUCAAUAGCCUGGACCACAGUUUCAAAUAAGGAUGGUUUAAAAUGAGUGCGUGCUUAGUUCUUUCUUUCAGCACUGUGGACAGGAAACAAGGAGACACCAGCUCUUGUGGCUUGAUUCCCCCAAACAAUCAGCGAGUGGUAAGCCAAAGUUUGCUCUUGACUUACUUCUGGUUUGUUGGGGGAAACCCACUAGGAGCACUGGGUUCACACAAUACAAUGUCCUCCCCAGUGUGCUGAAGGAAAAAGUGGGGUGAUGAUUGAAGCAGGGAUGCAGUCACCUUAAACCAUAGCUUAUUUAAAACUAUGGUUUUAAGUGAUGUGCAAAUCAGGCCACUGUUAGUCAAACUUUCAAAUGAAUAUUUACUGGAUUGUGCUCAUGAUUUUCUUUAAAAGACAAUUCAACUUUCACUAUGGUUCUUUUGCUACACAUUUUCUGUUAGAAUUAAAACAAAACACUGCACAAAAUGUAGCACGUAGUUUGGUAACAUUGAUUUUCUCCCCUCUCAGAAUAAGCAUGAAUUCAAAACGAAACCCAACUCAACUAUUGUCCUUAAGAUAUGUUACUUAUACCUUUCCGCACAAUCAUUUCCUGGUGGGUAGGCUAAGCGAAACGAAAGAACUUGACAAUGAAAGUUAUUUUACAGGGAAGUAAUUCAGUGGCAAGUUAGCUGGAGAACAAGAUAUGCAGAUCAGCAUUACAGUUCUGCAUCCACCAAAGUAAAUGAGGAAAUACCUGUUUUAAUAGUUACUGAUUGCACUCAAAUUCUCAAAAACCACAGAGGUAAAUGAAUUUUCCCAAUCUCAGAUUUGGCACCAUUUUCCUAACCACAAUGAUGGCUGAGAGAAAAUCUAUCAAAUCACAAAACUAUGGAUUAGUACUCUUGAGUGCGGUCUUUGUUCAUUUACCUAUGCAGCAUGGAACAUAAUCCAAAGGUACCUUCCCAUGUCCACAACCACUAUUUCUGAGCCCUGGACUUGGGGAAAACCCACCAAAUGUUUAUUUACUACUUAUAUUUUUUAUCACUUUUGCUCUGGUUACAAAUUGCUUCACGGCAGAGGAGUAGCUAGGGCGGAUGGGGGGCAGGACGCACUGGGCCCCACACCCGGAGGGUGGCUCUUAGCAUGGGGCCUGACCCAAGCCAUGCGUCUCUCCUGGGAGUGACACAGUGGCUCAGAGGGCUGCAGGAUCCGUGC